rnacentral:lncRNA from 1 species
AUGCAGAACCGAUGCAUAAUUAUCGGUAGGAAGAGACUGCGGGCGGCCCAGCAGCUCCCAGCAUCGCAGCUGGCAGCGCAGCCGUGUGACAGCCCCAUCGGCCACACUCGGGCUGUGCUCCUGGCCCCGUCCUGUGCUCCUGGCCCCCUCCGGCCCUUUGGGUGCAGGAAUCCAAGCGCUCAGCCCGAGCUCAUCCCACUGCUGGCACAGGGCGCGUGGAUCUGCCUGGCCACCCCUAGGGCACAUGCAGGAGCACGAGGGUGCCACUGGCUUGCAGUUGUAUUUGAGGCUGGGGUUUGGUUUUGGGGUUACGUUCUCUUGAAGUUUUCUUCCUGGAUUAAGAAGGAAAGAGCAACAUUGCACAGAAACCUCCCUGAAGCAAGGACAGCCUCCACACCGCGUUACAAGGUGAAGGACUCACGGCACAUCUGCGCCCAUUCCGAGCGGCACAAAAUGCCUCAAAAGCAGCACAAGUUCGGACAGAAAGGACUUGAGAAGUCCAUAACGAAGGAGGCUCUGCGAGGCGCCGAACUUCUUCCCGUGCAUUUCGCACGCCUUGAGAUGGAAACGCUGCAUUCUGCUUGUAACCGAACCGAGCUACGGGUAGCAGGAACAGCGCGGGAGGAGCAGGAGCAGCACGGCGGAGCGCUGGAAGCCCCGCGGGCGCGGAGCAGCGUGCGCCGGGGCAGAGCGACGCACAACGCCGCCAAGGGCACGGGGGCGGGCACAGCCCGGAGCGCGCUCCCGGACAAAGGCGAUGCCGUCCCCUCCCGCAGCCGGGUAGGCCGAGGGCAGCUCCGCGACUUGGGGAACCCUCCCGCGGGGUCGCGCCGCAUUCGCACCGGGUGCCGGAGUCCAACAACAGCCGCCACAUCCUGCGCUUUCAGUAUCUUUUCUAAAAAUGCGCCCUUCCCGCCGCCCGAACCUCUCCCUCCUUUUGUCCUCUCCCCUAAAAGCCGAACCCCGUCUCCCCUCGCAGCCCUCGUUCUGCUCUCGGUGCGGUCCGAUCCCCGCAGCGCCCGGCUCCGAACAAAGGGGCCCGGCGGCGGCCGCUGUCCCGCAGCUCUGCGGAUUGCCGUGGGCUUUUUUUGUUCCGUUUCUCCCUCCGCAAAAUGGGGGAUGAAGGGACCGGCCCCCCCGAGCAGCCGCCGCGGGUUCGUUCGCCCGAAGCGGAACCCGCUCCCCCGUAACAAUGAGACGCGGAGCGCACGUACAAACACGAGCACGUUUAUUCGGUACAGACAGGUUCAGUGA